rnacentral:rRNA from 1 species
UGUGGCGCACGGUUGAGUAACACGUGGGAACCCGCCCCCCGGUGGGGGAGUAACGCGACGAAAGGCGAUUAAUCCCGCAUACGUCCGCAGGGGGAAAGCGCUUCGGCGCGCCGGGGGUGGGCGCCUGCUGUCAUCAGGUCGUUGGUGGGGUAACGGCCUACCAAGCCGAUGGCGGGUAGCUGGUCUGGGAGGAUGACCAGCCAGACUGGGACUGAGACACGGCCCAGACUCCUACGGGAGGCAGCAGCAAGGAAUUUUCGGCAAUGGGCGCAAGCUGACCGAGCAACGCCGCGUGCGGGAUGACGGCCUUCGGGUUGUAAACCGCUUUUCGGGGGGACGAUGAUGACGGUACCCCCGGAACAAGCCCCGGCUAACUCUGUGCCAGCAGCCGCGGUAAGACAGAGGGGGCGAGCGUUGUCCGGAGUCACUGGGCGUAAAGCGCGCGCAGGCGGUCGCCAAAGUGUCGUGUGAUAGCCCCCGGCUCAACCGGUGGAGGCCAUGGCAAACUCGGCGACUGGUGCGGCGGAGAGGCCUCUCGAAUUGCCGGUGUAGCGGUGAUAUGCGUAGAGAUCGGCAGGUUGACCAAGGGGGAAGCCAGGGUGCCGGCCGCUGGCUGCAGCUGGGGCACGACAGCGUGGGGUGCGAGCCGGCUUCAGAUCACCGGGUAGUCCCCGCCGUACACAUUGACCACUCGGCGUGCGGCGACUAUUGACGUCAGCGGUGCGCCUUAGCUCACGCGCUAAGUGGUCCGCCUGGGAACUACGAGCGCAAGCUUAAAACUCAAAGGCAAUUGACGGGGGCCCGCACAAGCAGCGGAGCGUGUGGUUUAAUUCGAGGCAACCCGAAGAACAUUACCCAGGCUUGACAUGACGGUCGCAGACGGCGGAAACGCCGUCGCCUCCGAGGGCCCGUA